CAAAUUGUAUGAUUUUUGGUGUGCAAGCAAUUUUGAUAUAGUAGAUCACAUUCGAUAGCUUGGAUCAUCGAUAUGGGACCCCUAUUAUCCAGUUUUGACUUGAUCGGAUCCGAGUCCAAAUUUGAUCGAUCUUACCCAAGUCUGCUCCUAUAUAUAUAUAUAUAUAUGAUUGUGUGCGCACACACAUGUAUAUGUAUAUGUAUAUUUAUCUUGUGCUAUCUCACAAGUGUACUAUUGGUUUUCCCCUUUGAACUUAUUGUUUGAGUGAUCUCAUCACAUCAGAGGUGAACAAAACUGCAUUAGAAUCUACAUAAUAGUAUUUCAUCACUUGUUUAGAUAUACUUCAACAUGCUUAUAUCGUGUAUAAAUUGUUAUGUUCUUUUCCUGCAAGUCUUGUUGGUUGUUGUGCUGUUUUUUCUUGCCGGCAAUCAUCAAAUGGAUUUAUUCCUUCCCCCAGGUGCCUCCCCCCCAACUCUCCCUCUUCUUCUUCUUCUUCUUUUUGUGUGUGCAUGCAUGUGUUGUGCAUGUAUGUGCAUGCAUGUGUGGUAAGAGCAGCACUAGUAUACACCUCUCAAACAAAAAAGUAGACUUUCUAGUUUCCUUAUGAUUCCUAUGUUAGUGUAUUUUUUUCCUUUUCGUUGGACCGCACCUUUUGCCUUUGAUUUUGGCAUGUUGCCUGACAUGAAUUACUCACUACAAGAGCUACAUCUCAACUUCCAGUUGGAAUUGGUGUCCUAGACCAAGGUAUGUAUUUUCUUGGUCAUUAUUUAUGCUGAACUAGAUUUUGUGCAUUAUCUUUUCACCCCACACAUACUGUAGUUAAUCUCUAUCAAAAAGAAUUGGCAUAGUUGCUAAUUAAGACAUGGAGAUUGCAAGUCCCUACUUCAUUAUGUUAUUCUGUAGAUAAGUCUAUUAUUUAUUGGUUAUUUUUGUUGCAGAUGAAUGUGAUUCAAUGGUGUAACUGUAAGAGACAUCCUUCAGGGUCUGUUCAUGCAUCUGCUUGCUGUGGCCUGCUCAAUAUCAUGGCCUGCAUCUCUGCAAGAUGGGCUGCCAGGUUGCUCGAGUAAAAGGACGAGUAAUAUUAAUUUUGCAAUUAUUUUUUGACCAAGAUGUUAUAACUUGUUCAAUCUUUAAAGAUUUGAGAAGCAAAAAUAGAGCCAAGAUGUCAUCCACCUCAGAAAAGAGGUGCGUGCUUCUUUUAACUGACUUCGGCAGCACGGAAGAAUCGAACAUAAAUGUGACAUAUUGUCCGAUUGACCGGAUGUUAUUUUAUAAUAAAUAUUCAGGCAGAAAUAAAAGUAACUUUGUUUAUGUAAUGAUCUUGGGCGUGCUAGCUGCUCUACUAAAUUAAAGCUGCCAGUUAGUGCAACAAGAUGCCAGAAUCAUUUGCCGCAUUUCAUUUUAUGGCGGAAUGAACAACUUGCUGAUGCAUGCGAAUGGUGGUAUCCAGAAGUUUGCAUGACCUCAGUUACCACCUGAUCGAUCCUGUAGACUUGAAGCCACCUUUCGAUCGCAGAUUGGGAGUACAGAGUACUAGGUUUGGCUGAUUCCAGUUUGGGAGCACUUCUUUUUUUCUGGGACUGGUUCAGUAAAUCACGGCUUGACAACAGCAGUAAUAGUUGAAUUGCAGCAAUGAAAUUAUAUCUGAUAAGACAUUUUGAUG